rnacentral:rRNA from 1 species
GCGAGCGUUGUCCGGAAUUACUGGGCGUAAAGGGUGCGUAGGCGGCCCUUUAAGUCGAUGUGAAAGCCCGCGGCUUAACCGCGGAAUGGCAUUUGAAACUGGAGGGCUUGAGUGUCGGAGAGGGUAGUGGAAUUCCCAGUGUAGCGGUGAAAUGCGUAGAUAUUGGGAGGAACACCAGUGGCGAAGGCGACUACCUGGACGAUAACUGACGCUGAGGCACGAAAGCUAGGGGAGCAAACAGGAUUAGAUACCCUGGUAGUCCUAGCCGUAAACGAUGGGUACUAGGUGUNGGNGGUUUCGAUACCUUCAGUGCAGCUAACGC